rnacentral:rRNA from 1 species
GGGUUUGUCGUCGGGACCCCACAUAGGGUCCCCGAGCUCAAACCUCCCCGAGUACCCAUCCAUGUUGCUUUCCCAGGCCAGCAGCCAUUUGCUGCCCGUCCGACCAUGCCUGGUCACAGGACGGAGGUGCCUGGGGAGGGGCCCAAACAGAAACUCUGGUGCACACAGGCUGUCUGAGUUGGUGGGCCACGUGCCCCGUGAAUUAAACAAGUUAAAACUUUCAACAACGGAUCUCUUGGCUCUCGCAUCGAUGAAGAACGCAGCGAAAUGCGAUAAGUAAUGUGAAUUGCAGAAUUCAGUGAAUCAUCGAAUCUUUGAACGCACAUUGCGCCCUUUGGCAUCCCUUAGGGCAUGCCUGUUCGAGCGUCACUAUCAACCCUCUCACGGAUCCCGUGGUAUUGGUGGAAGCUCCCCGUGGCCCCUUUGGCUGCGGCACAGCUCCGCUGAAAUGCAUAAGCAGGACAAACAGGCCCCCGGCGAGUGACUUAGUAAGUGUCGUGAAGACGUAGACCAGUCAGCAGCCAGGCCUUGCCCUGCCCACCCAGAUCCCUCCCCCAAUCUGGUGUUAUCUCUUGGUUGACCUCGGAUCAGGUAGGCAUACCCGCUGAACUUAAGCAUAUCAAAG